AUAUCAANUUAAGCGGAGGAAAAGAAACUAACAAGGAUUCCCCCUAGUAGCGGCGAGCGAAGCGGGAAGAGCUCAAAUUUGUAAUCUGGCGUCCUCCGGGCGUCCGAGUUGUAAUCUAUAGAGACGUUUUCCGUGCCGGACCGUGUCCAAGUCCCUUGGAACAGGGUAUCAAAGAGGGUGACAAUCCCGUACUUGACACGACGACCGGUGCUCUGUGAUACGUUUUCUACGAGUCGAGUUGUUUGGGAAUGCAGCUCAAAAUGGGUGGUAAAUUCCAUCUAAAGCUAAAUAUAGGCGAGAGACCGAUAGCGAACAAGUACCGUGAGGGAAAGAUGAAAAGCACUUUGGAAAGAGAGUUAAACAGUAUGUGAAAUUGUUGAAAGGGAAACGAUUGAAGUCAGUCAUGUCCAUUGGAUUCAGCUGGUUCUGCCAGUGUAUUUCCUUUGGACGGGUCAACAUCAGUUUGAGCCGNCGGAUAAUGGCAGAGGGAAUGUGGCACCCCCGGGUGUGUUAUAGCCCUUUGUCGCAUACGUCGGCCCAGACUGAGGAAUGCAGCUCGCCUUUAUGGCCGGGGUUCGCCCACGUACGAGCUUAGGAUGUUGGCAUAAUGGCUUUAAACGACCCGUCUUGAAACACGGA
rnacentral:rRNA from 1 species